rnacentral:lncRNA from 1 species
AUUUUCUUCUGUUUAAGCCAUUCUGUUGUUGAUUUACUUCUAUGCUUUGGGUCAUUGUCCUGUUGCAACACCCAUCUUCUGUUGAGCUUCAGCUGGUAGACAGAUGGCCUUAAGUUCUCCUGCAAAAUGUCUUAAUAAACUUGGGAAUUCAUUUUUCCUUCGAUGAUAGCAAUCCGUCCAGGCCCUGACGCAGCAAAGCAGCCCCAAACCAUGAUGCCCCCAACACCAUACUUCACAGUUGGGAUG